rnacentral:lncRNA from 1 species
UUAAACUGAUAAAUGGGCCCAAUAUACCCGGCCCAAAAUAGGAGAAAUAUCAUGACCCAACAUUACCCCCUAGUUUUUUAGUUAAACAGGAUGUUUAAUGGAAAACUAUAUAUGAUUCAUGAUAUUUAGAAUUCAAUAAAGGCCCAAGGAUAGGAAAUAAGUGAAUCAUACCCACUUUUAACAUACGAAGUGGAAUAAGGGAGGGCUGAAUAAUGGAUACCCAGAGCAAUAAGCCCAAUCUGAUAAAGGACUUGAAUUUGAACAGGAUGGGCCAAUAAAAUAGAAACCCAACAGUCAGGCCCAAUCUGAUAAGAUAUUCAAAGGUCAUCCAAACGCAUUCCACUUGAAUUCUCAUCAUUACUGAUAUUAAAUGCGCCGGCCUCGCUCCACGUGUAACCGUCAGUAUAAAAGAUAAACUUCACCAAAUUUGACGGUUUUACCUACUGAUUUAAAAUUCGAACCUUUGA